GAUGAACGCUGGCGGCGUGCCUAAUACAUGCAAGUCGAGCGAACGGACGAGAAGCUUGCUUCUCUGAUGUUAGCGGCGGACGGGUGAGUAACACGUGGAUAACCUACCUAUAAGACUGGGAUAACUUCGGGAAACCGGAGCUAAUACCGGAUAAUAUUUUGAACCGCAUGGUUCAAAAGUGAAAGACGGUCUUGCUGUCACUUAUAGAUGGAUCCGCGCUGCAUUAGCUAGUUGGUAAGGUAACGGCUUACCAAGGCAACGAUGCAUAGCCGACCUGAGAGGGUGAUCGGCCACACUGGAACUGAGACACGGUCCAGACUCCUACGGGAGGCAGCAGUAGGGAAUCUUCCGCAAUGGGCGAAAGCCUGACGGAGCAACGCCGCGUGAGUGAUGAAGGUCUUCGGAUCGUAAAACUCUGUUAUUAGGGAAGAACAAAUGUGUAAGUAACUAUGCACGUCUUGACGGUACCUAAUCAGAAAGCCACGGCUAACUACGUGCCAGCAGCCGCGGUAAUACGUAGGUGGCAAGCGUUAUCCGGAAUUAUUGGGCGUAAAGCGCGCGUAGGCGGUUUUUUAAGUCUGAUGUGAAAGCCCACGGCUCAACCGUGGAGGGUCAUUGGAAACUGGAAAACUUGAGUGCAGAAGAGGAAAGUGGAAUUCCAUGUGUAGCGGUGAAAUGCGCAGAGAUAUGGAGGAACACCAGUGGCGAAGGCGACUUUCUGGUCUGUAACUGACGCUGAUGUGCGAAAGCGUGGGGAUCAAACAGGAUUAGAUACCCUGGUAGUCCACGCCGUAAACGAUGAGUGCUAAGUGUUAGGGGGUUUCCGCCCCUUAGUGCUGCAGCUAACGCAUUAAGCACUCCGCCUGGGGAGUACGACCGCAAGGUUGAAACUCAAAGGAAUUGACGGGGACCCGCACAAGCGGUGGAGCAUGUGGUUUAAUUCGAAGCAACGCGAAGAACCUUACCAAAUCUUGACAUCCUCUGACCCCUCUAGAGAUAGAGCCUUCCCCUUCGGGGGACAAAGUGACAGGUGGUGCAUGGUUGUCGUCAGCUCGUGUCGUGAGAUGUUGGGUUAAGUCCCGCAACGAGCGCAACCCUUAAGCUUAGUUGCCAUCAUUAAGUUGGGCACUCUAAGUUGACUGCCGGUGACAAACCGGAGGAAGGUGGGGAUGACGUCAAAUCAUCAUGCCCCUUAUGAUUUGGGCUACACACGUGCUACAAUGGACAAUACAAAGGGCAGCGAAACCGCGAGGUCAAGCAAAUCCCAUAAAGUUGUUCUCAGUUCGGAUUGUAGUCUGCAACUCGACUACAUGAAGCUGGAAUCGCUAGUAAUCGUAGAUCAGCAUGCUACGGUGAAUACGUUCCCGGGUCU
rnacentral:rRNA from 1 species